rnacentral:rRNA from 1 species
AGAGUUUGAUCAUGGCUCAGAGUGAACGCUGGCGGCAGGCCUAAUACAUGCAAGUCGAACGGCAGCACAGCAGAGCUUGCUCUGUGGGUGGCGAGUGGCGGACGGGUGAGGAAUACGUGGGAAUCUGCCCAGUCGUGGGGGAUAACGUAGGGAAACUUACGCUAAUACCGCAUGCGCCCUUCGGGGGAAAGCCGGGGACCUUCGGGCCUGGCGCGAUUGGAUGAGCCCACGUCGGAUUAGCUAGUUGGCGGGGUAAAGGCCCACCAAGGCGACGAUCCGUAGCUGGUCUGAGAGGAUGAUCAGCCACACUGGAACUGAGACACGGUCCAGACUCCUACGGGAGGCAGCAGUAGGGAAUAUUGGACAAUGGGCGCAAGCCUGAUCCAGCCAUGCCGCGUGAGUGAAGAAGGCCCUCGGGUUGUAAAGCUCUUUUGUCCGGAAAGAAAAGCGCCGGGUUAAUACCCUGGUGUCCUGACGGUACCGGAAGAAUAAGCACCGGCUAGCUUCGUG